AUGGUUUUGAUGAUGGGAACAAGUACUUCAGCGUACAUACUCAGAGAGAGACGCCGUUUUGGCUGCAAGCGUCUUUAUGGUGACUGGAGGAAUGACAUCCCGGAGAACAUUCGGCGAACCGACUGCAGUAGCCGCAUGCGCAUGGCGGGCGUUAACCGCAUUGAAGCGGAUCAGCGAGGGGAUUCUUCCUCCGUUAUCCGGAAUCAGGGUGGCACCACGGGAGAUACAGCUCUCGUCCCUGGC
rnacentral:ncRNA from 1 species